CCUACGGGUGGCAGCAGUAGGGAAUAUUCGGCAAUGGGGGGAAGCCUGACCGAGCAACGCAGCGUGAAAGAAGAAGGUAUUCGUAAUGUAAAGUUCUGUUAACAGGGAAGAACGAGAAAAUUGACGGUACCUGAAGAAUAAGCUCCGGCUAACUACGUGCCAGCAGCCGCGGUAAUACGUAGGGAGCGGGCGUUAUCCGGAAUUAAUGGGCGAAAAGGGUGCGUAGAUGGCAUAGUAAGUCUUUUGUAAAAAUGCUGGGCUCAACCCAGUAGUGCAAAAGAUACUGCAAAGCUAGAGUAUGACAGAGGCAAGUGGAACUCCAUGUGUAGCGGUAAAAUGCGUAGAUAUAUGUAAGAACACCAGUGGCGAAGGCAGCUUGCUGGGUCUAUACUGACGUUGAGGCACGAAAGCGUGGGGAGCAAACAGGAUUAGAUACCCCGGUAGUC
rnacentral:rRNA from 1 species